UGGGAAAAAAAGUUUUGGGGAUUUUACUCAAAUAUAAAGAUCUGAAAUGUCUGCAGACUGGUGUGAGCACUGAGGAUGAGGAGCCCAGAGCUGAAUCCUGGAAGUGGUCCCAUGGAUGAGACCAUCCAUCGCUCCACCUGCCCUUAUGAUACCCUCCAUCUCUCCAUCUGCCCUUAUGAGUCCCUCUAUCGCUCCACCUGCCCUUAUUGCCUCAGAUUGUGAAGCGCAGCACAGCAACAAGCUCCGGCAUGAAGGCACAGUCCCCUCUGGUGAAUUCAUCAGAAUAAAGCUGCAGAAUGGGAACCGAUGUGUUGAGUCGGCAGUAGGAUGUGGUGUUCAGCGCCUGUAAAUACAUGCUUGUAGUUUGAAUAAAGCUUUGUUUCAUGUGUU